GGUACCUACGGGACGCAGCAGUGGGGAAUAUUGGACAAUGGGGGGAACCCUGAUCCAGCGACGCCGCGUGAGUGAAGAAGUAUUUCGGUAUGUAAAGCUCUAUCAGCAGGGAAGAAAAUGACGGUACCUGACUAAGAAGCCCCGGCUAACUACGUGCCAGCAGCCGCGGGAAUACGUAGGGGGCAAGCGUUAUCCGGAUUUACUGGGUGUAAAGGGAGCGGAGACGGUGCAGCAAGUCUGAUGUGCAAGGUCG
rnacentral:rRNA from 1 species